rnacentral:rRNA from 1 species
GUCCCUAUCUGCCGUGGGCGCUGGAGAAUUGAGGGGGGCUGCUCCUAGUACGAGAGGACCGGAGUGGACGCAUCACUGGUGUUCGGGUUGUCAUGCCAAUGGCACUGCCCGGUAGCUAAAUGCGGAAGAGAUAAGUGCUGAAAGCAUCUAAGCACGAAACUUGCCCCGAGAUGAGUUCUCCCUGAGACUUUAAGUCUCCUGAAGGAACGUUGAAGACGACGACGUUGAUAGGCCGGGUGUGUAAGCGCAGCGAUGCGUUGAGCUAACCGGUACUAAUGAACCGUGAGGCUUAACCUU